rnacentral:misc_RNA from 1 species
AACGCACGAGACCUGCGGACCUGCGGAGGGAUCAUUAAUGAGAAGCUGCCCCUCCUGGGUAGACCUCCCACCCUCUGUGAACUUACCUUUGUUGCUUUGGCAGGCCCGUCCUCUGGACCGCCGGCUUCGGCUGGCCCGUGCCUGCCAGAGGAUUCCAAACCCUGUCUGUCAGUGUUGUCUGAGUCUAUAUGAAAUCGUUAAAACUUUUAACAACGGAUCUCUAGAUCGGAAGAGCACACG